UGUGGGAGCCAGCCUGCUGGCGAUGGCGUCGUGUCAGUCAAAACCUUCAUGACUGACACGACGCCAUCGCCAGCAGGCUGGCUCCCACA
rnacentral:antisense_RNA from 1 species